rnacentral:rRNA from 1 species
GUCUACGGCCAUGCCACUCUGAACACACCAGAUCCCAUCUGAUCUUGGAAGCUAAACAGGAUAGGGCCUGGUUAAUACUUGGAUGGGAGACCACCUAGGAAGACCAGGUGCUGUAGGCG